GACACGCCCCACACUUCCGCCCGCGCGCCGGAAGUGGAAGUGUUGCCGGUGGCAGCAGGAGCAGCGGCGCCAUCAUGGCGGAGGUGGCGGCUCUGGAUGAGCUCGCCAAGCUCGAGUAUCUGUCGCUGGUGUCCAAGGUGUGCACCGAGCUGGACAACCACCUGGGCAUCAACGACAAGGACCUAGCUGAGUUUGUGAUCAAUCUUGCUGAAAAAAACAGUACGUUUGAGACCUUCAAAGCAGUUCUUCUAAAGAACGGGGCCGAGUUCACUGAUUCCCUUAUCAGCAACUUGCUACGACUCAUACAGACGAUGCGGCCUCCACCAAAACCGUCUAUGAGCAAAGAGGCACUUGUCAAACCGAAAUCAGAGAAGGAAAAGCUGAAGGAGUUGUUCCCUGCCCUUUGCAGGCCGGAUGAUCCCAACGUCAGGACCAUGCUGGAUGAAGACGACGUGAAAGUGGCUGCUGAUGCACUUAAAGAACUUGAAGCUUUGAUGCCCAGUGCCGACAGACAGGGCAAGCACAGGAACAGCGACCACAGGUCAAAGAGGAAGAGGAGCCGAAGCCGUAGCCGUAGCAGGGACAGGAAACGAAGGCACAGAUCUCGUUCUAGGUCUCGUUCUAGGACUCGGGAUAGGAACAGGGGAAAAUCCAGAUACCGGUCAAGGAGCAGAAGUCGAAGUCCCUGUAGGGACCGUAAGGAUCGAGAGAAGUACGUUGAGAGGAGCAAUGAGAGAUGGAGAGACAAGCACGUAGACCGUCCACCGCCUGAGGAGCCUUCCAUCGGGGACAUCUACAAUGGCAAAGUGACGAGCAUAAUGCAAUUUGGAUGCUUUGUGCAGCUGGAAGGACUGAGGAAGCGUUGGGAGGGCUUGGUGCACAUCUCGGAGCUGCGAAGGGAAGGACGAGUUGCCAAUGUUGCUGAUGUUGUGAGCAAAGGACAGAGAGUGAAAGUCAAAGUGUUAUCCUUUACUGGAUCCAAAACCAGCCUCAGCAUGAAGGACGUUGAUCAAGACACUGGGGAAGAUUUGAAUCCAAACCGGAGGAGAAACCUGGUUGGAGAAACCAAUGAAGAAACCUCUAUGAGAAACCCUGACAGACCCAGUCACCUGUCCUUGGUGAACGCCCCGGAGGUGGAGGAUGACAGCCUCGAACGGAAACGCCUUACCCGGAUUUCAGAUCCAGAGAAAUGGGAAAUAAAACAGAUGAUUGCAGCUAAUGUGCUUUCCAAGGAAGAAUUUCCUGACUUUGAUGAGGAGACUGGAAUUCUUCCUAAAGUUGAUGAUGAAGAAGAUGAGGACCUUGAGAUAGAGUUGGUUGAAGAAGAGCCGCCUUUCCUUCGAGGUCAUACUAAACAGAGCAUGGAUAUGAGUCCCAUCAAAAUAGUAAAGAAUCCGGAUGGUUCCUUGUCCCAGGCUGCAAUGAUGCAGAGUGCUUUGGCUAAAGAAAGACGAGAGCUGAAACAAGCCCAGAGAGAAGCGGAGAUGGAUUCCAUCCCCAUGGGACUCAACACGCACUGGGUAGAUCCUCUCCCUGACGUGGAUGGCAGACAAAUAGCUGCAAACAUGCGAGGUAUUGGGAUGAUGCCAAAUGAUAUCCCAGAGUGGAAGAAACAUGCAUUUGGUGGCAACAAAGCCUCUUAUGGUAAAAAGACCCAGCUUUCCAUCAUUGAGCAGAGAGAGAGUCUCCCAAUCUUCAGACUGAAGGAGCAGCUGAUACAAGCGGUGCAUGACAACCAGAUUCUGAUUGUUAUUGGAGAGACAGGAUCUGGGAAAACAACACAGAUCACCCAAUACCUGGCUGAAGCAGGAUAUACGUCAAGAGGAAAGAUUGGAUGUACUCAGCCUCGCAGAGUGGCUGCGAUGUCUGUUGCGAAGAGGGUGUCGGAGGAGUUUGGUUGCUGCCUGGGACAAGAGGUUGGCUACACCAUUCGAUUUGAAGACUGCACGAGCCCCGAAACCGUUAUCAAAUACAUGACGGAUGGUAUGUUACUGAGGGAGUGCUUGAUAGACCCUGACCUGACUCAGUAUGCCAUUAUCAUGCUGGACGAAGCCCACGAGAGGACCAUCAAUACAGAUGUGCUCUUUGGACUCCUGAAGAAGACAGUGCAGAAGCGGCAAGAUAUGAAGUUGAUAGUGACUUCUGCAACCCUGGAUGCUGUGAAAUUCUCUCAGUACUUCUAUGAAGCACCGAUCUUCACAAUUCCUGGCAGAACGUACCCGGUCGAAAUCCUGUACACAAAAGAGCCAGAGACGGAUUAUUUGGAUGCCAGUCUGAUUACAGUUAUGCAGAUCCACUUAACAGAGCCUCCAGGUGACAUUUUGGUGUUUCUAACUGGUCAGGAAGAGAUUGACACUGCCUGUGAAAUCCUGUACGAGAGGAUGAAAUCUCUAGGACCUGACGUUCCAGAGUUAAUUAUCCUGCCAGUAUAUUCAGCUUUACCCAGUGAAAUGCAAACCAGGAUCUUUGACCCAGCUCCACCAGGAAGCAGAAAGGUUAUCAUCGCCACUAACAUUGCUGAGACGUCUUUGACUAUUGAUGGCAUAUAUUACGUAGUUGAUCCCGGCUUUGUGAAGCAGAAAGUUUAUAACUCCAAGACUGGAAUUGACCAGCUGGUUGUGACGCCGAUUUCCCAGGCUCAAGCGAAGCAGCGAGCAGGAAGGGCUGGGAGAACUGGACCAGGAAAAUGCUAUAGGUUAUAUACAGAGCGUGCGUAUCGAGAUGAAAUGCUAACCACCAAUGUGCCUGAAAUCCAGAGAACUAAUUUGGCCAGUACAGUGCUUUCCCUGAAGGCUAUGGGCAUCAACGAUCUGCUCUCCUUUGACUUUAUGGAUGCUCCCCCAAUGGAAACUCUAAUAACAGCCAUGGAGCAGCUCUACACCCUGGGAGCUCUGGAUGAUGAGGGACUGCUCACUCGACUGGGACGCAGGAUGGCGGAGUUCCCCUUGGAACCUAUGCUGUGUAAGAUGCUGAUCAUGUCCGUGCAUCUGGGAUGCAGCGAGGAAAUGUUGACGAUAGUCUCCAUGCUGUCUGUACAGAAUGUGUUCUACAGGCCGAAGGAUAAACAAGCGCUUGCUGAUCAGAAGAAAGCCAAGUUCCAUCAGACAGAAGGCGACCACCUCACACUUCUGGCUGUGUACAAUUCCUGGAAGAAUAAUAAGUUUUCAAAUCCCUGGUGCUAUGAAAAUUUUAUCCAGGCCCGAUCUUUACGCAAGGCACAAGACAUCCGCAAGCAGAUGCUGGGCAUUAUGGACAGGCACAAGCUGGAUGUGGUGUCGUGUGGGAAGGCAACGGUUCGAGUCCAGAAGGCUAUUUGUAGUGGGUUCUUCCGAAAUGCAGCAAAGAAGGAUCCCCAGGAAGGUUAUCGGACUCUUAUCGAUCAACAAGUAGUUUAUAUCCACCCAUCCAGUGCUCUCUUCAACAGGCAGCCAGAAUGGGUGGUGUACCAUGAACUGGUGCUGACCACCAAGGAAUACAUGCGUGAAGUGACGACUAUUGAUCCUCGCUGGCUGGUGGAGUUCGCGUCUGCUUUCUUCAAGGUUUCUGACCCAACUAAGCUGAGCAAACAGAAGAAGCAGCAGCGGCUGGAACCCCUGUACAAUCGCUACGAGGAGCCCAACGCUUGGAGGAUAUCACGUGCAUUCAGACGGCGAUGAAUCCUUCCCUCAUGGACUGUUAUGGGUUUUGUAGUUGUGGUACUGUGAUCUUUGCACUGUUGCAAAUGUCCUGAAAGGAGUGACUUUCAAUCGAAGUUUGCCUAUGAAAUGAAUAGAAAAUCAAUAUUUUCAGAGCAAAAGCACAAGGAGGCGACGUGUGCUCAGGUUCCACAGCCACGAGAGGAAUGACCCUCGUCUCCUCUGUGUGCAGCAGCAUUUCAGAAGUAGUUCUUGAAGCGCUUCUUUGGUGGAUCCCCUUUCAGGAGACAAAACCUGAGACUUGGAAAUGUGGGCACUGACCUGAACAACAACAAAAAUAUAAUGGUUGAAAAAUAGUUGCUCACCAAGCUGUGUCUCAAUGGCCAAACAGAGACUGGAAUAGCUUUUAUUUACACUCGUAAAAGUGAUUUAUUUCUAUCUAUGCUCUUGGACAGUGGCUCUUGAACAGUUUUUUAGGAGCUGCUUGUUCUCUGUUUUUUCAUCUUUUAUGCACUUUCCUGCUCAGUGCAACUAUUUGCCUUUCAUGCAAGCCAUCUGGGGUGAGAUUUAGUAUCUGUGGCUUUGGGAUAAGGCAGGAAGGAUCUCUUGAAACCCAGCCAGAAUGUCGGUUAUCCUUGGACAAUGGGCGCAGGUCAGACUGCAAGGCUUAUCCUUCAUCACCAUCUCCUGUGUGCUGAAGGCUGGUAUGUUGAGCGGUAAUUAACCACAUCCACUCUGCGGCACGGCUCCCUCUGAACGGAGGUGCAAUUAAAUUUUCAGGUGCCUUCAUCUCAUGAGCAAAUGCUGACAGAGAGAUGCGUACAAGACUAAUGAAAAACAAUUAUUUUCACCAUUCAGAAAAAUAAUUGGACACACCGGUGAACAUAGAAAAGCCAAUGAUAUUGUGCUUCAGAGGGCAACUUUUCUUGUCAAAAUUCUGGAAAUAGGGGUCACCAUGGGAGCAAAUGUUUCCCCAUAAACGCGGUUUAAAUUUGUAAGCUUGAAUAUUAAAAUCUGCAUUGAAUUUCCCCGAAGGUUUUGUUGGAUACUGAUUUGAUGCUAUGAACUGUACAAUAAAAGACAUCUGCCUACGUUCUAAAAACAUGCAGUAGGGUUUGCAUUCUCUUUUACUAAUCAUGUUUAAUACCAGAUCACUUCUUUUCAUGAUGCUCCGAGGUGAGGCACAACCUUCCCGUCACCCCAGGGUACCCGGGAAUUCAUUCUGCAACCACUGUGCUCCUGAGAAAUAGAUUGUGAGGGAUCCUAUGCAAAUGAUUUAGAUUAGGGAGCUAAAAAUAUUAUGGAACAUUAGAAAGUCUAAAAUCCAAAGUUCCCAAGAAAUCAAUUCUGGGCCAAACUUAUCUUAUUGACAGCUCAGGGUUUUGAAGAGAAACCAGGCUCAAGCACGUGUGCACGCUCAGCUGCUUUACGACCAGCAAUUAAUACCUCUUUUUCUGCUCUGUUCUAAAUUACACGAGUGUUUUAAUCCUGGAAAAGCCUCCAGGUUAAUUCCUCGGGCAUCCUUACAAUUCUCACACUCCUGAACACUGCUUGAUCGAUGUUUCGGUUCAGUUCGAAAGGAACAUAAAACACUUGUUUUAGGAGGCUUAAAAAAAAGAGAAGAGUUUGAUAGACUUCUCCUUUGCUUACAGGAAAAUUAGGGGAAAUAACCCUAAAAUAAUAUGCUCAAAAAUUUAUGCAUAUUUUUAUUAUAUUCAAUACUAUAUUAUUGUUUAAUAUUUGUUAAGUACCUAUAAGUAAGUGCCUCUGUAUUUAUGAAGAGUCUGUACUUGAGGAUAUGGUUUGAAUUUUCUACAAAAUGGAUUAUUUACAGUACUGAAAUUAAAGCAAAUUCACCACACUGUUUAAAACUACUUUCGCUAAGAAUUCUUGGAACUCCCUGGGCUUUGAAGUCUUUUCUUCCUUAAAGUCAAAAAGCAAGACAAUUCAGACACCGAACUGAACAGUGUGUGAAUUCCAGGAAGGUCCCUUCAAAGAAUUAUCUUUAAAAAGCUAAAAGAAAGAAAGAAAAUUGAGAAGCACCGAAUUAAAAGAAUGGUUUAAGAAAAUAUUAACGUUCUGGCAACCAAAGGGACAAAUUAGCAUAAAAGCCACCAGUUACGCUCCAAACGAAAAUCGUAACUGGGAAAGUGGGCCAAGUGCCAUUCAUAAGCAAAUCCCCAACACAAUCGUGCGAUUCAAGAGGCUCUAUUUCCACAAGGCAGAGGUUGGCAAGUCUGAAAAAAACCACCCCA